GUGCUUACCUCAGCAACACACACACUAAAAUUGGAAUGAUACAGAGAAGAUGAUCACGGCCCCCAUGCAAGGAUGACACGCAAAUUCGUGAAGUGUUCCAUAUUUAC